rnacentral:rRNA from 1 species
UACGUAGGGGGCUAGCGUUGUCCGGAAUCAUUGGGCGUAAAGAGCGUGUAGGCGGCCCGGUAAGUCCGCUGUGAAAGUCGGGGGCUCAACCCUCGAAAGCCGGUGGAUACUGUCGGGCUAGAGUGCGGAAGAGGAGAGUGGAAUUCCUGGUGUAGCGGUGAAAUGCGCAGAUAUCAGGAGGAACACCAAUUGCGAAGGCAGCUCGCUGGGACGUUACUGACGCUGAGACGCGAAAGCGUGGGGAGCAAACAGG